CGAAACGGGUUGAGUUAAUAGUAUCGGAACGUGCCCAGUCGUGGGGAUAACGUAGCGAAAGCUACGCUAAUACCGCAUACGAUCUAUGGAUGAAANCGGGGGAUCGCAAGACCUCGCGCGAUUGGAGCGGCCGAUAUCAGAUUAGGUUGUUGGUGAGGUAAAAAGCUCACCAAGCCGACGAUCUGUAGCUGGUUUGAGAGAACGACCAGCCACACUGGGACUGAGACACGGCCCAGACUCCUACGGGAGGCAGCAGUGGGGAAUUUUGGACAAUGGACGCAAGUCUGAUCCAGCCAUUCCGCGUGCAGGAUGAAGGCCCUCGGGUUGUAAACUGCUUUUGUACGGAACGAAAAGGUUUCUAUUAAUACUAGGAGCUCAUGACGGUACCGUAAGAAUAAGCACCGGUUAACUACGUG
rnacentral:rRNA from 1 species